ACAUUUCUAGCUUGCUAGAAGAUGACGAGUGGCGGACGGGUGCAGUAAUGCUUGGGAACUCGCCUUUGCGAGGGGGAUAACAGUUGGAAACGACUGCUAAUACCGCAUAAUGUCUUCGGACCAAACGGGGCUUCGGCUCCGGCGCAAAGAGAGGCCCAAGUGAGAUUAGCUAGUUGGUAAGGUAAAGGCUUACCAAGGCGACGAUCUCUAGCUGUUCUGAGAGGAAGAUCAGCCACACUGGGACUGAGACACGGCCCAGACUCCUACGGGAGGCAGCAGUGGGGAAUAUUGCACAAUGGGGGAAACCCUGAUGCAGCCAUGCCGCGUGUGUGAAGAAGGCCUUCGGGUUGUAAAGCACUUUCAGUUGUGAGGAAAAGUUAGUAGUUAAUACCUGCUAGCCGUGACGUUAACAACAGAAGAAGCACCGGCUAACUCCGUGCCAGCAGCCGCGGUAAUACGGAGGGUGCGAGCGUUAAUCGGAAUUACUGGGCGUAAAGCGCACGCAGGCGGUUUGUUAAGCUAGAUGUGAAAGCCCCGGGCUCAACCUGGGAUGGUCAUUUAGAACUGGCAGACUAGAGUCUUGGAGAGGGGAGUGGAAUUCCAGGUGUAGCGGUGAAAUGCGUAGAUAUCUGGAGGAACA
rnacentral:rRNA from 1 species